GGGGGUGUAGCUCAGUUGGCUAGAGCGUCUGAUUUGCAAUCAGAAGGUCGUGGGUUCGACCCCCAUCACCUCCACCA
rnacentral:tRNA from 1 species